UACAGAGGGUGCGAGCGCUAAUCGGAAUUACUGGGCGUAAAGCGUGCGCAGGCGGUGAUGUAAGACAGAUGUGAAAUCCCCGGGCUCAACCUGGGAACUGCAUUUGUGACUGCAUCGCUGGAGUGCGGCAGAGGGGGAUGGAAUUCCGCGUGUAGCAGUGAAAUGCGUAGAUAUGCGGAGGAACACCGAUGGCGAAGGCAAUCCCCUGGGCCUGCACUGACGCUCAUGCACGAAAGCGUGGGGAGCAAACAGG
rnacentral:rRNA from 1 species